GCCCUCGUAGCUCAGGGGAUAGAGCGUCUGCCUCCGGAGCAGAAGGUCGUAGGUUCGAAUCCUAUCGAGGGCGCAA
rnacentral:tRNA from 1 species